UAUUGGACUCCCCUCUGUCUACUUAAUCCACACAAACUCAAUUUAUUUUAAAAUGAAUGUAAUUGAUGUAACGCAUCUAAUACUAAGUUUCAACAACRGAUCUCUUGGCUCUCGCAUCKAUGAARAACGCAGCGAAAUGCGAUAAGUAAUGUGAAUUGCAGAAUUCAGUGAAUCAUCGAAUCUUUGAACGCACCUUGCGCUCCUUGGUAUUCCUUGGAGCAUGCCUGUUUGAGUAUCAUGAAAUCUUCAAAGUCAAUCUUUUGUUAAUUCAAUUGGUUGUGCUUUGGUAUUGGAGGUCUUUGCAGCUUCACACCUGCUCCUCUUUGUGCAUUAGCUGGAUCUCAGUGUUAUGCUUGGUUCCACUCGGCGUGAUAAGUUAUCUAUCGCUGAGGACACUGUAAAAAGUGGCCAAGGUAAAUGCAGAUGAACGCGCUUCCAACAGUCCAUUCACUUGGACAAUAAUCUUAUGAUCUGAUCUCAAAUA
rnacentral:rRNA from 1 species